AUUGAACGCUGGCGGCAGGCCUAACACAUGCAAGUCGAGCGGAUGAAGGGAGCUUGCUCCUGGAUUCAGCGGCGGACGGGUGAGUAAUGCCUAGGAAUCUGCCUGGUAGUGGGGGAUAACGUCCGGAAACGGGCGCUAAUACCGCAUACGUCCUGAGGGAGAAAGUGGGGGAUCUUCGGACCUCACGCUAUCAGAUGAGCCUAGGUCGGAUUAGCUAGUUGGUGGGGUAAAGGCCUACCAAGGCGACGAUCCGUAACUGGUCUGAGAGGAUGAUCAGUCACACUGGAACUGAGACACGGUCCAGACUCCUACGGGAGGCAGCAGUGGGGAAUAUUGGACGAUGGGCGAAAGCCUGAUCCAGCCAUGCCGCGUGUAUGAAGAAGGUCUUCGGAUUGUAAAGCACUUUAAGUUGGGAGGAAGGGCAGUAAGUUAAUACCUUGCUGUUUUGACGUUACCAACAGAAUAAGCACCGGCUAACUUCGUG
rnacentral:rRNA from 1 species